GUGGAUUAGAUACCCUAGUAGUCCACGCUGUAAACGAUGAUUACUCGAUGUUGGCGAUAAACUGUCAGCGUCUUAGCGAAAGCGUUAAGUAAUCCACCUGGGGAGUACGCCCGCAAGGGUGAAACUCAAAGGAAUUGACGGGGGCCCGCACAAGCGGUGGAGCAUGUGGUUUAAUUCGAUGAUACGCGAGGAACCUUACCUAGGCUAGAAUGCGCGUGACCGCCUCAGAGAUGAGGCUUUCCUUCGGGACACAAAGCAAGGUGCUGCACGGCUGUCGACAGCU
rnacentral:rRNA from 1 species